AUGGUGGCGGCAAUGCCGGCCUGGUUCAUCUCCCUAGCCGGACUCGGCGCCCUGUACUUGUCUGCCGCCUGCCUCCGCCUCGUCGCCCACCUUGCCCUCUACCUCCGCCGGCCAAUCGACCUCCGACGCCGCUACGGCUCUUGGGCGGUGGUCACCGGUCCAACCACGGGGCUCGGGCGAUCCACGGCCAUGGAGCUCGCCCGCCGGGGCAUCAGCCUCGUCCUCCUCGACCUGGACGAGGCCAACCUCGAUCAAGUCGCCGACACCAUCCGCAAAACCCACCCCUGCGUGGAAGCCAAGACCGUGGUGUUCGAUCUCUCCCUCGUCGGAACCCCUGCCGGCGACGAGGGGACGCGGCGGCUCAGGAAAGCAAUCAAGGGGCUGGACGUGGGGAUGCUGGUGAACAACGCGGCCGUGAACCGGCCGGGCGCGCUGUAUGUUCAUGAGGCGGACAUGGAGCGGCUGGCGAGGAUGAUACUGGUGAACGUGAUGGGGCUCACGGAGAUGACGACGGCGGUGCUUCCCGGGAUGGUGGAGCGAGGGAGGGGCGCCAUUGUUAACGUCGGGUCGGGGUCGACGGUGGCCGUGCCCUCCUUCCCGCUCUAAACCGUCUACAGCGCCACAAAACGGUACGUGCAGCACCUGUCGCGCGGCCUCGACGCGGAGUACAAGAGCAAGGGCAUUGACGUGCAGUGCCAGGUCCCCUUCUACGUGCACACCGGCAUGCUGUCUCCGGCGAUCAAGGCGACCAUGACCUUCUCGGCGUUUGUGGCCACCGCCGACGAGUACGCCCGGGACGCGGCGCGUUGGAUCGGACACGGCGGCGCGCUGUGCAUACCCGACGCGUCACAGCAGCUGCAGUGGUUCCUCGCCGGCCUCCUGCCGAGCUUCGUCCACGACUGGUACCGCCUCCGCCAGCACCUCAAACACAGGGCCAUCCUCCGGCGGAAGCUCGCGUGA
rnacentral:rRNA from 1 species